UACGUAGGGUGCGAGCGUUAAUCGGAUUUACUGGGCGUAAAGCGUGCGCAGGCGGCCCGUUAAGACAGGUGUGAAAUCCCUGGGCUCAACCUAGGAAUUGCGCUUGUGACUGGCGGGCUCGAGUACGGUAGAGGGGGGUGGAAUUCCUGGUGUAGCAGUGAAAUGCGUAGAGAUCAGGAGGAACACCGAUGGCGAAGGCAGCCCCCUGGGCCUGUACUGACGCUCACGCACGAAAGCGUGGGGAGCAAACAGG
rnacentral:rRNA from 1 species